rnacentral:rRNA from 1 species
UACAGAGGGGGCAAGCGUUAUUCGGAAUUAUUGGGCGUAAAGGGCGCGUAGGCGGCCUGACAAGUGGAAGGUGAAAUCCCUCGGCUCAACUGAGGAACUGCCCUCCAAACUGUUUGGCUUGAGACCGGGAGAGGUGAGUGGAAUUCCCAGUGUAGCGGUGAAAUGCGUAGAUAUUGGGAGGAACACCAGUGGCGAAGGCGGCUCACUGGACCGGUACUGACGCUGAGGCGCGAAAGCGUGGGGAGCAAACAGG